GUAGGUGAACCUGCGGAAGGAUCAUUAACACGUAUCCAACGUUAAACAACCCUGCGAACCUUGAACGUGCUCUCGUACACGCUCUAGCAGCAAUCCCUGGUAAAUCAUUGUUGACCAGCUAUUGAGUCUGGGACUUCUGCUAGAAAACCAUACGAUACGAGCGCCAGAGUAAGUGCGGCCUGGCAUCCUAGCAAUCUGUCAGUGGUUCCGCAAAGGCCCGGUCGCCGGCCGUGUGGGCCUACAGCGAUCGUUUACUGCGCCAUCCUUGUGCUACGGCACCUAAUGACACCAGUUUUCUGACCCGGUGCGCUGUAACAACCGCACCACAAACUCGAACAACUGUUAACAAUGGAUAUCUUGGUUCUU
rnacentral:misc_RNA from 1 species